rnacentral:misc_RNA from 1 species
ACAAACUUGGUCAUUUAGAGGAAGUAAAAGUCGUAACAAGGUUUCCGUAGGUGAACCUGCGGAAGGAUCAUUAUAAAACGAUCAUUAUUCACACCCAUGUGCAUUUUUUUGGAGAAAGGGAAGAGGUUUUCCUUUUUUCUUUCUCUUUUUUCCCUUCAGCCUUAUUGUUUGUCUAAAGAAUUGGGAAUAUAAAAAUUAAUACAACUUUCAACAACGGAUCUCUUGGCUCUCGCAUCGAUGAAGAACGCAGC